rnacentral:rRNA from 1 species
AUUGAACGCUGGCGGCAGGCCUAACACAUGCAAGUCGAACGGUAACAGGAAGAAGCUUGCUUCUUUGCUGACGAGUGGCGGGCGGGUGAGUAAUGUCUGGGAAACUGCCUGAUGGAGGGGGAUAACUACUGGAAACGGUAGCUAAUACCGCAUAACGUCGCAAGCCCAAAGAGGGGGACCUUCGGGCCUCUUGCCAUCGGAUGUGCCCAGAUGGGAUUAGCGAGUAGGUGGGGUAACGGCUCACCUAGGCGACCAUCCCUAGCUGGUCUGAGAGGAUGACCAGCCACACUGGAACUGAGACACGGUCCAGACUCCUACGGGAGGCAGCAGUGGGGAAUAUUGCACAAUGGGCGCAAGCCUGAUGCAGCCAUGCCGCGUGUAUGAAGAAGGCCUUCGGGUUGUAAAGUACUUUCAGCGGGGAGGAAGGGAGUAAAGUUAAUACCCUUGCUCAUUGACGUUACCCGCAGAAGAAGCACCGGCUAACUCCGUG